UCUAGUUCUUGUUUCCUUCGUCCUCAUCCGGUGCGCGCAGAUUUAAAAUUUGGUGUGAGAGUUAUCGUAUACUAACAAACUAACAGAAUCUAUUACCGAUCUCUCUUUCCCCCUCUCUCUCAUCCAGCCAGCACCACAGCAGCAGCCAGCACCACGGCUUCCCUCGCCGUCCAAUACAACGACCUUACCGAGCCGGCCGGCCGGCGCCGCCGAACAGCCCCGCAACCGCAAGGAGAUAUUGUCGAAUCCUGGCAAUCAUAUAUGUACUACUAGCGCACCUCCAACUCUGCUCCGUAAAUGCACUGGUGUCUACUGUCUACUUCUGACUCAUGUUGUAGAUGCACCGUAGAUUACAGUACUAAUGCUCAACAAUUGAUUUUAGUUGGAUUAUCAAAUUAGAUCAUGUGUGUACUAAUGCUAAUCAUGCUAAUACCCUCUAAUUGCAAUUGUGUAAGCAGUACGCAGCAUAUGGCAAAGUCACGGGAUGGUGGCAGAACCUCCAACUCUGCUCUGAAGAGAGCCCUUUCUGCAGAUCGAACAAGGAGGACGCAUGAACCCUCUGAAAAAAGAGGCUUCAGUCGCACUAUCUCAAGGAAAAGGAGUGCUUCAAAGAUGAAAGCAUGGAAAGACAAAAUAUACUCCAGGUUUGUUCAGAAAUGGACUUGACUCUAGGGAUGCGGGAGUCGCCAAAGAUUGGGGGCAUCGUCCUAAAUGACAAGUCGGGCGUUGCCCGUUAGUCUCUCCACCCUUAUGGGCAAUUUACGGUGGAGUCUAUGUAUGCGAUUUCGGUUAACACCAAUUGACAAUUCCAAAAAAAUGUCAGAGGAAACUUGAAAUUCUCCUAAAAUAUCUUUGUGUGGUACAUUUGUCGGGGGAAAUUCUUGCUAAGGAUAACUUUGCUACUUGGAAAUGGAAGGGCAGCAAGACGUGCUAAUUCUGUAGUGAGUAUGAGAGUACUCAACACUUUUUAUAGACUGUCCGAUGGAGGCCCUCGUAUUCUGUCACUUUGUUGGUUGCCAGAAAGUGGAGUUGGACCGCGUACUGCAACUUCUCCCUGAUUGGACUGUUGGAGACAUGAUGUCGACGCCAACCCCCAAGCUUUCUAGUGUGAGGGAGCCAUCGGAUGACAUUGACCAUUUCUUGUCUGCAAUGUGGCCGGUAUCGGGGUCUCGAACGGGAUGGGUCCACUUCGCAUGAAGUCGGCAAGGGGAUGACACUUGAUCGCCGGGCAGGUGAUGUAAACUGUAUAUCAAAGGGACCAAACUCGGCAGUCUAGUUUGCCACGCCCCACCAGUUUUUCUUUCCUCCCGUUCUGUAAAAAAUAAAGAUGUCUAGGGCUCUUUUUUAGAUAGAGAAAAUAAUUCAGUAAAUCUAACUAUUGUAUGGAGUAGUAUUUUUGCAACACUCCAAAAAUACUGAGAUGCCAAACACAGCCUUAUAUGUACGUGUCAUUUUGUGUAUACUUAUAUAAAGUGCUGAUGAGGCAAAAUACUCACA